rnacentral:rRNA from 1 species
UACGUAGGGCGCAAGCGUUGUCCGGAAUUAUUGGGCGUAAAGAGCUCGUAGGCGGCGUGUCACGUCGAUUGUGAAAGCCCGAGGCUUAACCUCGGGUCUGCAGUCGAUACGGGCUAGCUAGAGUGUGGUAGGGGAGAUCGAAUUCCUGGUGUAGCGGUGAAAUGCGCAGAUAUCAGGAGGAACACCGGUGGCGAAGGCGGAUCUCUGGGCCAUUACUGACGCUGAGGAGCGAAAGCGUGGGGAGCGAACAGG